rnacentral:rRNA from 1 species
CCUACGGGAGGCAGCAGUGGGGAAUAUUGGACAAUGGGGGAAAGCCUGAACCAGCGAAGCCGCGUGAGUGAAGAAGUAUUUCGGUACGUAAAGCUCUAUCAGCCGGAGAGAAAAUGACGGUACCUGACUAAGAAGCCCCGGCUAACUACGUGCCAGCAGCCGCGGUAAUACGUAGGGGGCAAGCGUUAUCCGGAUUUACUGGGGGUAAAGGGAGCGUAGACGGCAGCGCAAGUCUGGAGGGAAAUGCCUGGGCCCAACCCCGGAACGGCUGUGGAAACUGGGAAGCUGGAGUGCAGGAGAGGUAAGCGGAAUGCGUGGUGUAGCGGUGAAAUGCAUAGAUAUCAGGAGGAACACCGGCGGCGAAGGCGGCUUACUGGACUGUAACUGACGUUGAGGCUCGAAGGCGUGGGGAGCAAACAGGAUUAGAUACCCUAGUAGUC